rnacentral:lncRNA from 1 species
AAUGUUAAUUUUAUUAAUUUCAAUAUGUUAAAUGAAAAAAAAAAAUUUGAUCACAACUUAAUAUCAUCAAAUAGUGGUAGUAAUAGUGGUAGUAAUAGUGGUAGUAAUAAUAAUAAUAAUAAUAAUAAUAAUAACAACAGUAGUAAUAGUAGUAGUAGCAAUGGUCGUAGUAGUAAUGGUGGUGGGAUAGUAGGAACUAUGGGUAGUGGUAUGACUGGAGGAAUGUCCGUAAAUAAUUUAAACAAUGCCCACCAAACAAAUAAUUAUAAUUUACCAAAAAAUAUUAAUGAAAACUAUAUACUUGAUAUAAACAUGCUUAAUAACAUUAAUGACAGUAGUAGUAGUAGUACUAGUAGUAAUAAUAAUAAUGACAUAAGUGGACUAAUAAAUAAUAAAAAUAAUCAUUUGAAAAUUAAUUCUAAUAUACGAAAUGGAAUAGGGUGUUCUAUAAAUACAAACAUCAGUACAAACUCAAAUCAAAACAAUAAUGAUAAUAACUCAACACACAAUCAUGGUCAUAACAACCAUAAUCCACCAUUCGGUAAUAAUUUAUACGACAACCAUAUGAUACAAAGGAAUAUGAAAAAUAUGAUGUACCCCUGUGCUAAUGUGAAAGAGACAAAAACAGUUAAAAAUAAUCUUACUCAUAAUAACAGAAACGGUAGCAAUAGUAGCACCAGUAACAAUAGCGAUAGCAACAGUAGUACCAGUAACAAUAGUGGUAACAACAAAGGCCAAAACAAUAGCAAUAUCGGUGACUACAACACAGACGAUGUAUUACAUAACAUAAACUAUGCAAAUUAUCAUGGUAACAUGGGUAGUACUAAUGAUAAUAGAAAUAUGGUUACAUAUAAUAAUAUAGUUGAAUAUGAAAGACUAAUAAACAACCAAAACUACAAUGAUAGAAACAAUACAGAUGACAAUGUGUCUAUUAGUGAGGACAUACACAACAGUUAAUCAUUUUUUUUUUUUAGGAUCCGUAUGGACUAAUAUGUAUAAAUAUAUAAGGGAAAUAUGCGUAUACAUAUUAAAAAAUACAUGUUAAAAAGCAAAAAAAAAAAAAAAUAAACUAAGUAAAUAAUUAAAUAAAAAAAGUAAG